rnacentral:sRNA from 1 species
AAAGACCAAGCGGGCUCCGCGCGGACCGGCGGCGCGGCUAGGCACCCGGCUUUGGCCUUCAGGAUCCCUAGCAGCCGCGAAAAGGAAUUGCUGCCCCGAGUUUCUGCAGAGGUGGAGGGAGAUCCGGAAACGGCUUCUUCCUCACUUCGCCACCUGGUGAGUGUCGGGGAGAUUGGCAAACGCCUAGGAAAAGACUGGGGAAAAUAGCCCUGGGAAAGUGGAGAAGGUGUCAGGAGGCCGAUAGGGUCCUGCUGUGUCACCCAGGCUGGAGUGCAGCGGCAUAAUCAUGGCUUAUUGCAGCCACAACCUCCCAGGCUCAAGUCAUCCUCCUGCUUCAGCCUCCCAAGUACCUGGGACUACAGACAUCCUGUUAUUUGAUCUUCACAUUCACGCUGAAGGUAUCAGAUACACACCGGACUUCAACAUUCUAUCAUAAGACCUACCCAACCCAACUGUUUACCUCUGGACAAUGCCACCCUACCUCAGAAACUGAAGGAGGUUGGAUAUUCAACGCAUAUGGUCGGAAAAUGGCACUUGGGUUUUUACAGAAAAGAAUGCAUGCCCACCAG